rnacentral:lncRNA from 1 species
UUCAAAGAGCCCAACAGGCAAAUCGAUCAAAUCGCAACGAAAUCAACAGGAAAGAUUCGGCGACUCACGAAAUUAACGGGCGAACGCCGGCAGCUUAGUGACAUCCAAAUCAAGUUCUACUUUUCAUUUAAGUUCUACUACGAACAGGUUCGCUUCUGCUGUGUUACUCAGCUCACCCGGACUGGUUCCAGUAUUUUCUGCUCCGGCUCUAAUUUUUCUCUUAAUUGUUGGCGCUUUUCAAUCUACUCAGUUAGAUUCUGUUGGAAUUUUAGCUAGCAGGGAAAUUGAGGCAAGGAAAUUCUCUGCAUCAUAUGAUUUUGACCUUAAUAUAUCGGUAAUUGUGUCCUAAGCAGCUGACAAAAUAAGUUUUUGCAUCAAUGAAUAUAUUAUUUGAAUGUAACUGAAAACCAGAAGCUCAGAUUAUUUGCUCACGUUUUUGCUGCUUUUAAUUGGACCACUCUGUUCAGAAGACUUUUAGAUGGUUAAUAGCCUGUUUGGCAAAGCUUCUAAAAUCGGAGGUGUUUUUCUCGAAAAUAUUUUUCAAAAAAGUAUUUUUGGCGAUAAUCAGAUUGUAUUUGGCUAUUUAAUUUGAAAAACACUUUUGAAUAGUAAUUAGUGUUUGGCCAAGUUUUUAAAAACUGUUUCUAAGUGUAUUUUUAUCAUAAGUGUCUCUCAGAAAAGUGCUUUUGGAGUAACCUACUUUUUUCUGCUUCUCAAAACUGAUUCCGCUUAUCCUCAAAAGUACUUUUUUUUCUAUCUAAGUUUGGCCAAACACCUCAACUUUUUGAAAAAAAUACUUUUGGCCCAAAAAAAAGCUUGGCCAAACAGGCUAUAAAAAAGUCAAGUUUGGAUGUUAACUCUCUGAAGGCAAGUACUUAGGCAAUUUUUUCCUGUUAGAGUUCCAACACGCAGCAUGUGACAUAUGGAAUAAUUGUAACUAUAUAUAGCAAUCUUAUGAAAUAAUGGGACUUUGGUUGUGUUGGUUGGCAGCAGCUAAAAUCAAACUGUACUUACUGGUUCACGCAUUCCACUCAGCCAAAAUCAAUAACUGAUAAUUAAGCUCGAGUAAUAUCUAAGGGAUUUACUUAUUCCUAUAGACUGCUGUAUUUAUUCACUCAUGGAGAAGGGUGCUCUCAAACUCUACAAAUAAUUUCCGUUUGUUCAACUUCUGGUGAAAUUUUAAUGCAAUGAUAGUCUUUGAUAUAAAGUCAAAUGAUUCUACUAAAUACAUUCUUCACUACUUUACACGUGUAUUAUCACCAACAUCCAUGUACUUAUGGAAUAGAAAGAAUGUUAAAUGCUACUUUCAUGGUUAUGUGCCCUAAAACCAAUUGCAUCGUCUAUCUCUAGGCUGUUGCAUUAUAAGACAUUGUAUUCGCUGAGUUUUUCCAAGAAGGUUUCUCCAACAGGAGAACCAUUUUUAACAAAAAUGGCAGGAUAUCCUAUUGGUGCUUCCACCCAAGAAUCGGAACCUUGUGUUGAAUACAGUUUUCCUGUCCAAAUAUGUUUCCAUGAAGAGCUUUCUCCUAUCGGGAAAUAGACCUUAACAUUUUCUCUGCCUUUGUCUAGCACAGGUACCACAAGUAUCUCUGUGCCAACUAGGAACUGCUCAUGUGUUAAGCUAUAUACAUGUUCAUCUUCUGGAUAGUGAAGGAAGAGAUGUCGACAAAUUGGCAGCCCUUUCUGACAGGCUUCCUGUGCAAUUCAAGAAGGUAUUAACUCUUAGAUCUUUUGGUUUAAAAUUUUGAUUUGAAAAAACCAGAUUGUGAUCGUAUAUUACCUUAACUAGUUGAAUCCUGUAAAACUUCCAUGCUUUGUAGAUCUUUGCAAGACGUGCAAAAUGUGACAGUGUUCUAUUAUUGGAGUAGAACUGGCUGUUGCAAGAUGGCU